rnacentral:lncRNA from 1 species
CUUUUCUGGCCUUAUCUAUUUGGUGUUCUGUAUGUUUCUUGUAUAUCUGUAUAGGUGUGCCUUUCCUUAGCUUGGGGGGAAUUUUCAUCUAGGAUUUUGCCAUUGACCUAGGAUUUUUUUUCUCAUCUAUUACUAUAGGUUGAGGAUUUUUCUUUCCCGUGGUGUCUCACAUGAGUUGUGAUGAGAAGAACAUCAGGGAAGGGAAGCAAGCAUGGGACUCUCCUGAGUUGUGGACACUGUGUCCACAGAGUUCUUUCCUGAGCCUCGGGGCAGAGCCAUCAGGUACAAAGAUAAGUACCAGCAGGAGCAUCUGCAAACAAGAUACAGCAACAUGGUUACCAUGGUUAAGCACGCCCAGCUUUGAUCUCCGAGGAAGAGCAGUGACAGUCGUUCUGAGCCUGGUUCUCUCUGCAGACUGGAAUCUUCGCCAUUAACAGAGUGACAGUUCUGAGUCUCCAAGGUCUUUGUUGGGUAUUUUCUGUUGUUCUUUGGUCCCAGCGUUCCAUCUGAUUUACAUGUUGGAA